rnacentral:tRNA from 1 species
GGGGUGGUGGCUCAGUAGUAGAGCACUUGCCUAGCAUGUGUGAGGCACUGGGUUCAAUUCUCAGCACCUCA